CAGGUGCUAUUGUGGAGGUGCAUACCCAACAGUUUGAUAAUGUAGAGGAAGUGAUAGCUUUGUCUCGUGGAAUCUGGGUCGACCUCACAGAGGAGCUGUUAUUUGUUCUGGAUAUUGAACAGUGACAAGGAUUCAGUGGGAGAGAAAGAGGCGAGGAAUCCUCUGUUUCCUCGGGGUGCUCAGCAGCUUGGAGUCCUGCA
rnacentral:lncRNA from 1 species